rnacentral:piRNA from 1 species
UUAGAUGGGUCUCGGCGCGAA